rnacentral:rRNA from 1 species
UUUUCCUACGGGGCGCAGCAGUGGGGGAUAUUGCACAAUGGGGGAAACCCUGAUGCAGCGACGCCGCGUGGGCGAAGAAGUAUUUCGGUAUGUAAAGCCCUAUCAGCAGGGAAGAGGAAAUGACGGUACCUGAGUAAGAAGCACCGGCUAAAUACGUGCCAGCAGCCGCGGUAAUACGUAUGGUGCAAGCGUUAUCCGGAUUUACUGGGUGUAAAGGGAGCGCAGGCGGCACGUCCAGCCUGCUGGUAAAGCCCG